CGGUGGUUGGGUUGCGAAGCGGAGUUAAUUCACUGGCAUGAGGAAAAAGUCUCGCCGGAGGUUAUCGGCAGUACGGAGAAAAGUGGUGGUGACGGUUUUGCGGCGGCGAAGGUGGUUUUGUGGAGAAGACGAUGGGGGAUGGUGGUAGGUGUGUUCCAAGAAGAUAAACAGUAAGAGAGAUUUAAUGUAUUCUUUUUCUCUUCUUUUUNAGGAGGAAGAGAUUAACCUGCAUAGAUAUUUCAACAACAAAACACCAGACAACGGCAAGAGAGUUCGUCGAUUCGACGGAUGUGAUUGACUUGAGGAGCCGGAGGAGUAACAAGACGAAAACGAUCCGCCAGAUCAUGGGAACGAGAAUAAAAGAAGUGGAGAAGAGAGGGCCGGAAUGAUUUGAGUGCCGAUUCGGACGGUGGUUGGGUGUGCGAAGGGCGGCGGAGUUAAUUCACUGGCAGAGGAAAAAGAUCUCGCUGCGAGUUUAUCGGCAGUACGGAGAAAAGUGGUGGUGACGGUUUUGCGGCGGCGAAGGUGGUUUUGUGGAGAAGACGAUGGGGGAUGGUGGUAGGUGUGUUCCAAGAAGAUAAACAGUAAGAGAGAUUUAAUGUAUUCUUUUUCUCUUCUUUUUAUUUUCUUUUUACAGAGAGAAUAUGUGUGUGGUAGUGAGGUAGCGUGAGGGAGUGAGAGAGAUGAUGGAGAGUGUUUUUCUUUUUUAACCUUUUCUCCUUUUCACAUAGAGAGAGUAAAGAGUCUGUUAGUUAAAAAGUGGGAAUGGGGUGCCCUUAAUAAUGAGUGGAAGAGAGAGUAUAUGAGUGAGAAAACGUGU
rnacentral:lncRNA from 1 species